GGAAAGGUUACUAAAAGAACACUGCAUUCCUGUAGCCUGCACGUCCUUAGAAACACCUCAUAAAGUAACUGUGGUUUUACUUUACUCACAGGACUAUUGCUAGAUCUGUGGGAAAGAACUAUAAGACAGUU
ensembl:snoRNA